rnacentral:rRNA from 1 species
GAUGAACGCUGGCGGCGUGCCUAAUACAUGCAAGUCGAGCGAACGGACGAGAAGCUUGCUCCUCUGAUGUUAGCGGCGGACGGGUGAGUAACACGUGGAUAACCUACCUAUAAGACUGGGAUAACUUCGGGAAACCGGAGCUAAUACCGGAUAAUAUUUUGAACCGCAUGGUUCAAAAGUGAAAGACGGUUUUGCUGUCACUUAUAGAUGGAUCCGCGCUGCAUUAGCUAGUUGGUAAGGUAACGGCUUACCAAGGCGACGAUGCAUAGCCGACCUGAGAGGGUGAUCGGCCACACUGGAACUGAGACACGGUCCAGACUCCUACGGGAGGCAGCAGUAGGGAAUCUUCCGCAAAGGGCGAAAGCCUGACGGAGCAACGCCGCGUGAGUGAUGAAGGUCUUCGGAUCGUAAAACUCUGUUAUUAGGGAAGAACAUAUGUGUAAGUAACUGUGCACGUCUUGACGGUACCUAAUCAGAAAGCCACGGCUAACUACGUG